UACGUAGGCAGCAAGCGUUGUUCGGAUUUACUGGGCGUAAAGGGCGCGUAGGCGGCAAAUUAAGUCAGCUGUGAAAUCUCCGAGCUUAACUCGGAACUGUCAGCUGAUACUGAUGUGCUAGAGUGCGGAAGGGGCAAUCGGAAUUCUUGGUGUAGCGGUGAAAUGCGUAGAUAUCAAGAGGAACACCUGAGGUGAAGACGGGUUGCUGGGCCGACACUGACGCUGAGUGCGCGAAAGCCAGGGGAGCAAACGGG
rnacentral:rRNA from 1 species